CAACAGUUGGAGACGACUGCUAAUACCGCAUAGUAAGAAAGAUUCGCAUGUUUCUUUCUUGAAAGAUUUAUCGCUAUGAGAUGGACCCGCGUCUGAUUAGCUAGUUGGUAAGGUAACGGCUUACCAAGGCGACGAUCAGUAGCCGGCUUGAGAGAGUGAACGGCCACAUUGGGACUGAGACACGGCCCAAACUCCUACGGGAGGCAGCAGUGGGGAAUAUUGCACAAUGGGGGAAACCCUGAUGCAGCGACGCCGCGUGAGUGAAGAAGUAUUUCGGCAUGUAAAGCUCUAUCAGCAGGGAAGAUAAUGACGGUACCUGACUAAGAAGCCCCGGCUAACUACGUGCCAGCAGCCGCGGUAAUACGUAGGGGGCAAGCGUUAUCCGGAUUUACUGGGUGUAAAGGGUGCGUAGGUGGCAAGGCAAGUCAGAUGUGAAAGCCCGGGGCUCAACCCCGGUACUGCAUUUGAAACUGUCUAGCUAGAGUGCAGGAGAGGUAAGCGGAAUUCCUAGUGUAGCGGUGAAAUGCGUAGAUAUUAGGAGGAACACCAGUAGCGAAGGCGGCUUACUGGACUGUAACUGACACUGAGGCACGAAAGCGUGGGGAGCAAACAGGAUUAGAUACCCUGGUAGUCCACGCCGU
rnacentral:rRNA from 1 species